GAUCAUGGCUCAGAACGAACGCUGGCGGCGUGGAUAAGACAUGCAAGUCGAACGAGAGAAUUGCUAGCUUGCUAAUAAUUCUCUAGUGGCGCACGGGUGAGUAACACGUGAGUAACCUGCCCCCGAGAGCGGGAUAGCCCUGGGAAACUGGGAUUAAUACCGCAUAGUAUCGAAAGAUUAAAGCAGCAAUGCGCUUGGGGAUGGGCCNCGGCGCUAUUAGUUGUGG
rnacentral:rRNA from 1 species